ACAGGAGGCAUGCAGCAACUCGUCGAUUUGCGAAGCAACUCCGUCGUCGUCGUGCUCAUGUCUCGCCUUCCUUUGACCAAGAAGUUCAAGUCUUCAACGCAUCCUUAGCUUUUGCAGCUAUAUGUAGCCGUGCGACGAUAGCCCUGCUUUCUCAAUCAACACGGAUCUGAAAGCUGCAACGAGCUGCCCGGCGAUCGAGCUCGCCAUGGAUGGUUGCAGCUGGCCGCCAUCUCCGUCUAUAGGCGGCGCCAGAGCUGUCUUUAGUGGGGACAUGCCAUGGCACAAGGCGAGGUACGUACACGUAACAGCAGCUGCGACGACUCUGAUCAUCUUCACAGCCAGAGGGAAGAGCAAGACGUGGUGGUCAGCUCGCAACAACUUCAGCAGCAGCUUCAACAGAUCUACGCGCUGUUGGACAUGGAGCAAGAGCAUGAGCUGCACCUGCACCACGCCGUGCCACCGCAGAGCCCUAGCCAGCAUCAGUGGUCGUCGUCGCCGUCGUCAUCGUCGCUUGUGCUCUCGGCAUCGAGCGCCACCACAGCCUUUUGCCAACAACCGGCCCAGGCCUCAUCCCUGGACACACCAUUUUCUCCAUUCCCCUACGGCUACCUUGAGACGAUCCCGAACCUGAACCGGGAAGAAAUCAUGAGCCAAGCACGGCACAAGGAUGGUUCCGGCACCAGUGCGUUCAGGCAGUACGUCCGGCACCUCCACCCCAAGAAGAAGCUAAAGCAGGGCGCCUGCGGGCAGAGGGCGAUCAAGACGGCCAUGUCGGUCCUGGUGAAAAUGCACAGCGCUAGGCUUUCCCAGCGGCAAAGGCAGAGCUCCCGGACAGAGAUGGCCGCGCCGGCAGUGCCGUCGUCCGACGAGAGCAACAACAUCCAGCUUCAGCACCUCUUGUCGGAGCGCAAGCGCCGGGAGAAGAUCAACGACAGCUUUGAUGCUCUAAGGAAUGCACUGCCCCCUUCCUCCAAGCGAGAUAAAACAUCCAUACUGAUGAGAGCAAGGGACUACAUAAACUCUCUGCAAUCUAGAGUGUCUGAGCUGGAGGAGAAGGGGAUGGCACUAGAAUCACAGCUAUGCAUCGACUACGGCUAUGAACAAGACGUUAAUGGUUACCCUGAAAAGAUCGAGCAACAGUAGAGCAGUAGCUGAGGAAACAAAAACAACGCAGGAACCAUUGCCUGAAGAUAGUGGUAAGCUCCUCCAGGUGUGAAUGUGAUGUCAUGGAUGCUGGAGCUAGAACCCUGCAGCGUCUGAAACAGAUAAGAGGAUGUUAGAUUGGUGGGCAUGGACGCAGGUAGCAGCAGUGAUCUUCCUCUAGGAAAGCAUUCUCAAUAAUCCACGAUAACAUUGUAAUUGAAGCAGAUGUGACAACAAUUUCAUAAGGAAUCUGUGAUACUGUCAAAGACACGAUGCAGUCAGAGAUAGAGACAACAUAAGCUUCUCUGCUGGUUGUUCGUUCAAAAUUGUUGGCUUGAACUUUGUGGUUCUUGGCACUUGUCGGCCCUGUUUGGUACUGCUAGAAAAGCGUGUCGUUUGUCUGUUCUCGUUCAACUUAUUAUGUCCAUACGCAGUAUAAGCUACCAAACAUGGCCAAUGAAAUUAAACAAUAAAAUGUCAAACAUAUAGACAUUCAUGGAACUUGGAUGCAACCUUAA